rnacentral:rRNA from 1 species
GACGAACGCUGGCGGCGUGCCUAACACAUGCAAGUCGAACGGACUUUUAAUGGAACGAAGCUUCGGCCGAGGGAAAUUAAGAGUUAGUGGCGGACGGGUGAGUAACACGUGGAUAAUCUGCCCAUAAGUUUGGGAUAACACUCCGAAAGGGGUGCUAAUACCGGAUAAUGUCAUUAAGUCGCAUGGCUUGAUGAAGAAAGGGGAAACCCGCUUAUGGAUGAGUCCGCGGCCCAUUAGCUAGUUGGUGAGGGUAACGGCCCACCAAGGCGACGAUGGGUAGCCGGCCUGAGAGGGUGGACGGCCACACUGGGACUGAGACACGGCCCAGACUCCUACGGGAGGCAGCAGUGGGGAAUAUUCCGCAAUGGGCGAAAGCCUGACGGAGCGACGCCGCGUGGGUGAAGAAGGCCUUAGGUUGUAAAGCCCUGUCAAGUGGGACGAGAUAGGACGGUACCGACUAGAGGAAGCCCCGGCUAACUACGUG